rnacentral:rRNA from 1 species
GGGGAAUAUUGGACAAUGGAGGGAACUCUGAUCCAGCAAUUCUGUGUGCACGAAGAAGGUUUUCGGAUUGUAAAGUGCUUUCAGUUGGGAAGAAGGAAGUGACGGUACCAACAGAAGAAGCGACGGCUAAAUACGUGCCAGCAGCCGCGGUAAUACGUAUGUCGCGAGCGUUAUCCGGAAUUAUUGGGCAUAAAGGGCAUCUAGGCGGUUAUGCAAGUCAGGGGUGAAAACUUACGGCUCAACCGUGAGCUUGCCUUUGAAACUGUGUGACUAGAGUACUGGAGAGGUGGGCGGAACUACACGAGUAGAGGUGAAAUUCGUAGAUAUGUGUAGGAAUGCCGAUGAUGAAGAUAGCUCACUGGACAGAAACUGACGCUGAAGUGCGAAAGCUAGGGGAGCGAACAGGAUUAGAUACCCUGGUAGUCCUAGCUGUAAACGAUGAUCACUGGGUGUGGGCAUGAAGAGUGUCUGUGCCGAAGCGAAUGCGAUAAGUGAUCCGCCUGGGGAGUACGACCGCAAGGUUG